UUUUUGCGUUAAGGAUUGAAACGGCAUCCUUUUUUCUGGCAGUUCGAGUGAAUUUUGAAGCAUGAAAAAUUUGUAUCGAGAACAGAAGAAAAAAGAUAUAGUGUAAAGCCCGACCUUUU
rnacentral:sRNA from 1 species